UCCCUGGUGGUCCAGUGGCCAAGACUCUGCACUCUCAAUGCGGGGGGCCUGGGUUCGAUCCCUGGUCAGGGAA
rfam:TPA: Bos taurus chromosome 17, whole genome shotgun sequence.